rnacentral:rRNA from 1 species
AUACAUAGGGUGCGAGCGUUGUUCGGAAUUACUGGGCGUAAAGGGCGCGCAGGCGGAAUAGUAAGUCGGAGGUGAAAGCCCGGGGCUCAACCCCGGAGGGUCUUUCGAAACUGCUAAUCUAGAGAGGGUCAGGGGCCGGCAGAAUUCCUAGUGUAGAGGUGAAAUUCGUAGAUAUCAGGAGGAAUACCGGUGGCGAAGGCGGCCGGCUGGGGCCACUCUGACGCUGAGGCGCGAAAGCGUGGGGAGCAAACAGGAUUAGAUACCCCGGUAGUCC